rnacentral:rRNA from 1 species
CGAACUGCGUGGCCAGUCGGCGCGGUAUUACGGGGGGGGCUAGUGUUGGUCGGAAUUACGGGGCGUGAAGGGCGCGUAGGCGGCCUUCUAAGUCGGGCGUGAAAUCCCCCGGCUCAACCGGGGAACUGCGUUGGAUACUGGAAGGCUUGAAGCCGGGAGAGGGAUGUGGAAUUCCAGGUGUAGCGGUGAAAUGCGUAGAUAUCUGGAGGAACACCGGUGGCGAAGGCGGCAUCCUGGACCGGCAUUGACGCUGAGGCGCGAAAGCUAGGGGAGCAAACGGGAUUAGAUACCCGAGUAGUC